rnacentral:rRNA from 1 species
GGGAUUGCCCUAGUAACGGCGAGUGAAGCGGCAACAGCUCAAAUUUGAAAUCUGGCUCUUUUAGAGUCCGAGUUGUAAUUUGCAGAGGGCGCUUUGGCGUUGGCAGCGGUCCAAGUUCCUUGGAACAGGACGUCACAGAGGGUGAGAAUCCCGUACGUGGUCGCUAACCUUCGCCGUGUAAAGCCUCUUCGACGAGUCGAGUUGUUUGGGAAUGCAGCUCUAAAUGGGAGGUAAAUUUCUUCUAAAGCUAAAUACUGGCCAGAGACCGAUAGCGCACAAGUAGAGUGAUCGAAAGAUGAAAAGCACUUUGGAAAGAGAGUCAAACAGCACGUGAAAUUGUUGAAAGGGAAGCGCUUGCAGCCAGACUUGCCCGCAGUUGCUCAUCCGAACUUUUGUUCGGUGCACUCUUCUGCGGGCAGGCCAGCAUCAGUUUGGGCGGUUGGAUAAAGGUCUCUGUCAUGUACCUCCUCUCGGGGAGGCCUUAUAGGGGAGACGACAUGCAACCAGCCUGGACUGAGGUCCGCGCAUCUGCUAGGAUGCUGGCGUAAUGGCUGUAAGCGGCCCGUCUUGAAACACGGACCAAGGAGUCUAACAUCUAUGCGAGUGUUUGGGUGUCAAGCCCGAGCGCGUAAUGAAAGUGAACGGAGGUGGGAACCCUUAAGGGUGCACCAUCGACCGAUCCUGAUGUCUUCGGAUGGAUUUGAGUAAGAGCAUGGCUGUUGGGACCCGAAAGAUGGUGAACUAUGCUUGAAUAGGGUGAAGCCAGAGGAAACUCUGGUGGAGGCUCGCAGCGGUUCUGACGUGCAAAUCGAUCGUCAAAUUUGGGCAUAGGGGCG